UCAUUUCAUUUCAACUUUUAACCUCUUCUUCUCCCCCUUCUUCGUCGUAGUGGUGUGUUUGUGAAGUUGAUUCGGCGUGGAAAUGAUGGGAAUAGUAAAAGGUUUGAGCAGGAAGAAAGCGUGUUGGUUUGGUUUGGCGGUGACAGUGUUUGGAGUUAGGGCAAAGUGAAGAAGGCCCCUGUCCCUUGCUGAGUUAUUGCAUGGCGACGCUCGCAACUUCUUCCAUAUCAAUGAUGAUCUCAGGGGUUGUAUGAAAAGGCGUGGGUUGCAUUCUAGUAUGGAAUCGCGACUUAGACUUCUCCCCUCACAUUGUUCCCUCCCUUCAACAUAGUCACUGUUCCGCCACCAACGCGCUUCCUGCGUUGAUUACAAACUCCUCUCUGAUCCACGCCAACAAACAUUUCUGCUUUAUUUCAUCAAUUUAACUUGACGUUGGUGGUGAUUCGCAUAUUUGAUCUGUAACAGUAGCGAACGCUCAGAAAAGAAACUUCAUAGGUACUUUAUACUCAACUCCAAGGUUACCUACCAAUCAUAAUUUCUAUCAAUAAUAGUUCACAUAGCCUCUAGGUCAUCAAAUAUGAUUUUUAUUCAUGGCAUGUGUAAUCCAAAACAAAAUCAAACAUUGUAACCUAUGCAUAAAAAUAAGAAUGAGAAUACACAGAGACUAGAAAAUAGAGAAAGAUUAAACAAGAAUGACGUAAACCCCUUGUCUUAAUGAGAUGGCUGAUUUAGGAUAUGUAGGGUUAGAAUUAGGGAAUUUGAAAAAUUAGUCAGAUAGGAGUUGAUGUAACAACUUUUCCAUUCCAAUCAAUGGAGCACCUUUCUUGCCAACACUCACUCACCUUUAUAUGUAACACCAAAUAACGUUAUAAACAAGCUUCCUUUUUUAAACAUAGGAGUUGAUGUAUUUCAUUCACAUCUACACCAUUUUAUUAAUGU